rnacentral:rRNA from 1 species
GCGUAUGCAACCUACCUUAUACAGGGGAAUAGCCCGAAGAAAUUCGGAUUAAUGCUCCAUGGUUUAUCGAUAUGGCAUCGUAUUGAUAAUAAAGAUUUAUCGGUAUAAGAUGGGCAUGCGUAUCAUUAGCUAGUUGGUGUGGUAACGGCAUACCAAGGCAACGAUGAUUAGGGGUCCUGAGAGGGAGAUCCCCCACACUGGUACUGAGACACGGACCAGACUCCUACGGGAGGCAGCAGUGAGGAAUAUUGGUCAAUGGAGGCAACUCUGAACCAGCCAUGCCGCGUGCAGGAUGACGGUCCUAUGGAUUGUAAACUGCUUUUGUACAGGAAGAAACCUCCCUACGAGUAGGGACUUGACGGUACUGUAAGAAUAAGGAUCGGCUAACUCCGUGCCAGCAGCCGCGGUAAUACGGAGGAUCCGAGCGUUAUCCGGAAUUAUUGGGUUUAAAGGGUUCGUAGGCGGCUUUGUAAGUCAGUGGUGAAAUUUCCUAGCUUAACUAGGACACUGCCAUUGAUACUGCAGAGCUUGAAUAGUAUGGAAGUAACUAGAAUAUGUAGUGUAGCGGUGAAAUGCUUAGAUAUUACAUGGAAUACCAAUUGCGAAGGCAGGUUACUACGUAUUUAUUGACGCUGAUGAACGAAAGCGUGGGGAGCGAACAGGAUUAGAUACCCUGGUAGUCCACGCCGUAAACGAUGGAUACUAGCUGUUCGGUUUUCGGACUGAGUGGCUAAGCGAAAGUGAUAAGUAUCCCACCUGGGGAGUACGUUCGCAAGAAUGAAACUCAAAGGAAUUGACGGGGGCCCGCACAAGCGGUGGAGCAUGUGGUUUAAUUCGAUGAUACGCGAGGAACCUUACCAGGGCUUAAAUGUAGAUUGACAGAUUUGGAAACAGAUUUUUCUUCGGACAAUUUACAAGGUGCUGCAUGGUUGUCGUCAGCUCGUGCCGUGAGGUGUCAGGUUAAGUCCUAUAACGAGCGCAACCCCUAUUGUUAGUUACCAGCGCGUAGUGGCGGGGACUCUAGCAAGACUGCCGGUGCAAACCGUGAGGAAGGUGGGGAUGACGUCAAAUCAUCACGGCCCUUACGUCCUGGGCUACACACGUGCUACAAUGGCAAGUACAGAAAGCAGCUACCUGGCAACAGGAUGCGAAUCUCCAAAGCUUGUCUCAGUUCGGAUUGGAGUCUGCAACUCGACUCUAUGAAGCUGGAAUCGCUAGUAAUCGGAUAUCAGCCAUGAUCCGGUGAAUACGUUCCCGGGCCUUGUACACAC